AAAGGAAGGACACAGAGAUGCUCCAGUGGCUGCAGCAAAAAAAAGAGACAGAGUCUGACAGCACUUAAAACUGAACAAAGCACUCAUUAAAAGGAAGCCACUAUCAUUAUGAUGAAGAUGAAGAAGCCUAUAAGCAUUGGACUCCAGCUCAGACAGGCUCCUCCACACUCCUGGGGCUUGUCUAAGGCUCUCUCUCCUUACUCUGAUCAACUGCAUCUAGCUUCUCUCACCAUAUCUAAGCACCUGUCCUGAUGGAGCUCACACUGGCCACCUACCCCUCAGCCAACAAUCUUGCAGAGAAAGGCAACUGAACUUCUUAGCCUCUCUCCGAUUCACGUGUCCUCUCCAUCCUGUUGGCCUAAUUUCACUUCAGCCUUAAAACACUUCUGUUACGGUAAGUCUCCCCAUUACAUUCUUUUUAAGUCUCCCAAUAUCCUGAGCUCAGACUCUACUCCUUCAGCUUCCUUCCACGGCCAGCUUCCCAAAACACAGUCAUGUUAUCCCUGCUUAAAGACUUCUUGUGCGGGCCAGGGAGGUGGCUCAAUAGGUAAAUGCCACCAAAUCUAACAACUUGAGUUUGAUUCCCAGGAUUAACAUGGUAGAAAGAACCAGCUCAUACAAGCAAUCUCUCUCUCUCUCUCUCUCACACACACAGAGAGAGAGAGAGAAUAUAUAUAAUAAAUUUUUUUUAUUAACUUCACUGUGAACAACAAUAACCCCUCCUUUGAUGCAUGCCAAAGCUCUUCCCUUCUGGCUGCUUGGAUCUACUUCAAGCCCUUUGCCCUGCAAAUAAAAAAAGAGUAUCACCCGGACCCCACUCUUCAUCCAUCACUACUUAGGUCAAUAGUCAUCUCCUUCCUGAAAUUCCCCAGCUUCUCCCUGGAGAGCCUGUUAUUUCCUUUCUGCCCUUGUAUAGACACCUUGGACAAAGUUUUGUUACAGCACCACACUUUACUGAAAAUACUGCCUACCAUCUUCUGUCCAACCUCCCCCUAAGAGGAGGAGGACCCCAAAGUGUCUAAGCACUGAGCACAGUGCCUUGCCCAGAGAGGGACAUAAUAGUCAAAAGUUAUUGUGCCAGCCGGGCUCCGGGCAUAAGAUCAGGGCCAGCCCAUAAAAGCAGAGCUGGAGAGCUGACUCAGAGGUUAAGACAGCAAUGUGCAACCGCAAAGGCCUAAGUUCAGGCUCGAGUACCCACUAGCAAGCUCAGCACUGUGAGGGAGAAGACAGUAUUGUCGGUGUUUGCUGGCUGCUUCAAGAGGCCCAUAGUGAGACUCUGUCUCAAACAAACAAACAAAACAAACAAAGGAAUAGAGUGUUAGAGAAAGCUUCCUUCUUUGACCUCCAGGGAUGUGCACAGGGACACACACUCAGACACAUAUGUGCAGAUAUCACACCACAUUCACACAUACC
ensembl:antisense Gm15624 predicted gene 15624